rnacentral:rRNA from 1 species
GGGACCUGCGGAAGGAUCAUUAAAGAGUAAGGGUGCUCAGCGCCCGACCUCCAACCCUUUGUUGUUAAAACUACCUUGUUGCUUUGGCGGGACCGCUCGGUUCCGAGCCGCUGGGGAUUCGUCCCAGGCGAGCGCCCGCCAGAGUUAAACCAAACUCUUGUUAUUUAAACCGGUCGUCUGAGUUAAAAUUUUGAAUAAAUCAAAACUUUCAACAACGGAUCUCUUGGUUCUCGCAUCGAUGAAGAACGCAGCGAAAUGCGAUAAGUAAUGUGAAUUGCAGAAUUCAGUGAAUCAUCGAAUCUUUGAACGCACAUUGCGCCCCUUGGUAUUCCGAGGGGCAUGCCUGUUCGAGCGUCAUUACACCACUCAAGCUAUGCUUGGUAUUGGGUGCCGUCCUUAGUUGGGCGCGCCUUAAAGACCUCGGCGAGGCCUCACCGGCUUUAGGCGUAGUAGAAUUUAUUCGAACGUCUGUCAAAGGAGAGGACUUCUGCCGACUGAAACCUUUUAUUUUUUCUAGGUUGACCUCGGAUCAGGUAGGGAUAACCGCUGAACUUAAGCAUAUCAAAACC